GCCGCGGUAGCUCAAUUGGUAUAGCAUCGCACGUGAAAUGCGAAGGUUGUGGGUUCGGUUACCACCUGCGGCA
rnacentral:tRNA from 1 species